AGAGUAGCUCAGUCGGUAGAGCAGUGGGAUCAUAAUCCAUUUGUCGGGGGUUCAAGUCCCUCCUCU
rnacentral:tRNA from 1 species